UGGGGAGGCCAGCAAGGGGCGAGCUGUCCCAGAAGGGAGGCGAGACUUGCUGGGGACUGCCCUGGGGUAAGAAGAUAAGCCCUGAAGCCAGCCACUGCACAGAGGAGGGUCCUGGGAGAGCCCCCUGGCCCUUCUCUGGCAUCCUAGCCCUUUGAGGAAUUUGCCUAUUUGCCCCCCACCAAACAUGCAAGAUGGAGAAGCCCAGGGGGACCAACUGGCCCAGCUUCCAGCCUUCUCCUCGGAAUCACCGGCACGAAGCCACACUGAGGAUUCUCCCAUUUCCAAAGUCUCCUCUCUCCAAAGAAGCAGACCCCACAACUCCCCCAAGCGCCGAGGUCUGGCAACGUGACGGAGCAACCGCUCCAAGCUCCCAGUCCAGCUUAGCUAGAGGCCGAAGUCAAGACUGAGGCCCAGUCUCCUGGAGGAAACAUCUCUGCUCAAUCGGAAAGAUGUGUCUGGAAAGAUCCACCCGGCUGUCUCACAUUCUACAUAUUUAAUAAAGAGGUCCACAUUUAACCACCAGCCUCUCCUCGCAGCUCCCACGCCUGCCCUUCCCUCUCUGUCUGCCCAGUUCCCCAG